AGCUUGUCUAUCUCUGCUCUAUGGGGCAUCUAUUGGCUAAUGUGAGGCUGGACUACAAAUAUGACACCAAAUUUGUAGUUCAUCAACUAGGAAGCGAGAGUCGGAAAAAAAAUGGACGGGAAUAAACUCCGUGCACAGUCUUCGGUCAAAAAAAUAACUAUUGUAAGGCGAACACAGCAAUUUGGAUUAAAAGGCUUAGAUACUUCUUGGACCCUUGGGGAUUUAUGAAAAAAUAUUGAAAACUACUGAAAACUGACACGAAGUGAAUCAGAUGAAACAGAUUUUUUUCCAACAGAAGGUCCGGUUUGUCUCCACCCUUGAAAAAAAGGGGUACAAGCAAGCGGCCCUCUCCCUGGACAUUGUCUUCCAGCCCUAUCAGGCCUAUCUCGACGAUGUCAUUAUCCACUCCUCCAUGUAGGCCGAGCACCUGUUCCAUCUCAUGGAGGUUCGGGGUGGCCUUCAGAAAGCUGGGCUGACAGCAAAUCCCCGCAAGUGAAUACCCAUGGCCUACCACCAAGAAACAGGUACGUGCCUUUCUUGGGUUGGUGGGGUACUAUCACUGUAUCACUGUAUCACUUGGCUGUAGCAUCCCUCUAUACCUCUAUAGCAUCCCUCCUUUCAGUCGGACCGGGUGCAAUGGAACAGGGAAUCCAAGCGGGCGUUUUACUAACUCAAAGAUCUCACCAGCCAGCCUGUCCUGAGGAACCAUGACUUUAGCCUCUCAUUCUCCCUCCACACAGAUAUGUCUGAGACAGGGCUAGGGGCCAAAAAGUAGGCUGUUGAGGAACUCCGCUAUCACCUUACAGGGCAGCACUUCACCUUGGUCACCAACCAUGCUUCAAAGACACCAAUGCCUGGGUAUUUUGAUGGUUUCUCUGGUUACAGGAAUUCUUGUUCCAGGUCUAGCACAGAGUAAGGAACCCUUCACAUAAUCUGCUAGAGGAUUAUUAAACAAAGUCAUGCCAGCAGCUACGUGUGGUCUGUCAAUAUUUUCUCAUCCUCAUGUUGUUUUAAACCUGUAUGAAUUUCUUUAUUCUAAUGAAUUUCUUUUCCUCCGUGAAGAAGACCAGCCUUCUUGAAACGACCCAACAGUUGGAUGCGUACCUGGGGUUCCCAGGAGAUACGGUAGAGGUACCUGUAUUGAAGUCCUUCCCAACUGUCUGCCAGCUAUCACUUAAGCUUAAUACGGCUCUUCUGGCAUCAGCAGCCAGUGAAAUACUGUUUAGUGUUGCAGGGCUCAUCUUCAGGCCAAGAAGAGCUUGCAUUGGCUCAAUGAACUUUGAGAACCAGCUGUUUUGUGGAUGAAAAAAGCCUAUUAGUAACUCCUUGUCGCAUGUUCUGUGAUUAACUGAUGUUGAUUACCCUGUUGUUGUUUAAGACCAAUGUGUUUGUUUCAAUAAAGGUUACUGAUGACAUGCC